GACGAACGCUGGCGGCGUGCUUAACACAUGCAAGUCGAACGGUGAAGCGCCUUCCUUUUUGGUGGGUGUGGAUGAGUGGCGAACGGGUGAGUAACACGUGAGUAACCUGCCCCCUUCUUCUGGAUAACCGCAUGAAAGUGUGGCUAAUACGGGAUAUUCUGGGUCUGUCGCAUGAUGGGUCUGGGAAAGAUAUUGUUUCGGUGGGGGAUGGGCUCGCGGCCUAUCAGCUUGUUGGUGGGGUGAUGGCCUACCAAGGCGGUGACGGGUAGCCGGCCUGAGAGGGUGGACGGUCACACUGGGACUGAGACACGGCACAGACUCCUACGGGAGGCAGCAGUGGGGAAUAUUGCACAAUGGGCGCAAGCCUGAUGCAGCGACGCCGCGUGAGGGAUGGAGGCCUGCGGGUUGUGAACCUCUUUCGCCAGUGAAGCAGGCCUGCCUCGUUUGUGGGUGGGUUGACGGUAGCUGGAUAAGAAGCGCCGGCUAACUACGUG
rnacentral:rRNA from 1 species